UACGUAGGGUCCAAGCGUUAAUCGGAAUUACUGGGCGUAAAGCGUGCGCAGGCGGUGAUGUAAGACAGAUGUGAAAUCCCCUGGCUCAACCUGGGAACUGCAUUUGUGACUGCAUCGCUGGAGUGCGGCAGAGGGGGAUGGAAUUCCGCGUGUAGCAGUGAAAUGCGUAGAUAUGCGGAGGAACACCAAUGGCGAAGGCAAUCCCCUGGGCCUGCACUGACGCUCAUGCACGAAAGCGUGGGGAGCAAACAGG
rnacentral:rRNA from 1 species